ACAGCAGUCGCCACGGGAAUACAGAGACUGCGAGCGUUAUUCGGAUUCACUGGGCGUAAAGGGUGCGCAGGCGGCCAGGUGUGUUAGGCGUGAAAGCCCAAGGCUUAACCUUGGAAUUGCACCUAAAACUACUUGGCUAGAGUACUGGAGAGGGAAACGGAAUUCACGGUGUAGCAGUGAAAUGCGUAGAUAUCGUGAGGAACACCAGAGGCGAAGGCGGUUUCCUGGACAGUUACUGACGCUCAGGCACGAAAGCGUGGGGAGCAAAAGGGAUUAGAUACCCCGGUAGUCCCUGUCUCUUAUAC
rnacentral:rRNA from 1 species